GGCGCAGGCGGGAAAGAGAGUCAGAUGUGGAAUUCCGGGGCUCAACCUCGGAGCUGCAUUUGAAACUCCUUUUCUUGAGGAUAGGCGGAGAAAACGGAAUUCCACAAGUAGCGGUGAAAUGCGUAGAUAUGUGGAAGAACACCCGUGGCGAAAGCGGUUUUCUAGCUUAUUCCUGACGCUGAGGCCCGAAAGCUAGGGGAGCGAACA
rnacentral:rRNA from 1 species